rnacentral:rRNA from 1 species
ACCCGCACGAAGCGGUGGAUGAUGUGGAUUAAUUCGAUGCAACGCGAAAACCUUACUACCCUUGACAUGUCCGGAAUCCCGAAGAGAUUUGGGAGUGCUCGCAAGAGAACCGGAACACAGGUGCUGCAUGGCUGUCGUCAGCUCGUGUCGUGAGAUGUUGGGUUAAGUCCCGCAACGAGCGCAACCCUUGUCAUUAGUUGCCAUCAUUUGGUUGGGCACUCUAAUGAGACUGCCGGUGACAAACCGGGAGGAAGGUGGGGAUGACGUCAAGUCCUCAUGGCCCUUAUGGGUAGGGCUUCACACGUCAUACAAUGGCCGGUACAGAGGGUAGCCAACCCGCGAGGGGGAGCCAAAUCCCACAAAGCCGGUCGUAGUCCGGAUCGCAGUCUGCAACUCGACUGCGUGAAGUCGGAAUCGCUAGUAAUCGCGGAUCAGCAUGUCGCGGUGAAUACGUUCCCGGGUCUU